CAAAGGUUUGGUCCUAGCCUUGUUAUCAGCCCUGACUGAGAUUACACAUGCAAGUAUCCGCCUCCCCGUGAAAAUGCCCUUAAGCCCCCUCGCUAGAGGAUAAGGAGCAGGUAUCAGGCACUCUUUAAGCCCACAACACCUUGCAUCGCCACACCCCCAAGGGAGUUCAGCAGUGAUAAACAUUGAGCAUAAGCGAACAGCUUGACUCAGCUCCAGUCUAUAGAGCCGGUUAAUCUCGUGCCAGCCACCGCGGUUAUACGAAAGACUCAAACUGAUAACCGUCGGCGUAAAGCGUGAUUAAAGACCCCCCCCCCUAGAGUCAAAUUACAACUAGGCCGUCGCACGCUUCAGUUGAAUAGAGGCACUAAUGCGAAAGCAACUCUACUAUACCUGAACUCACGACCGCUAGGAAACAAACUGGGAUUAGAUACCCCACUAUGCCUAGCCUUAAACAUUGACAACUUACAUUAUUUCAUCCGCCCGGGAACUACGAGCCGCAGCUUAAAACCCAAAGGACUUGGCGGUGCCCCAAACCCACCUAGAGGAGCCUGUUCUAUAAUCGAUACCCCCCGCUUAACCUCACCACCCCUCGCCAGCAGCCUAUAUACCACCGUCGCCAGCCCACCUCAUGAGAGAAAACAAGUAGGCAUAAUGGUAACCACCAAAACGUCAGGUCAAGGUGUAGCCUAUGGGGCGGAAAGCAAUGGGCUACACUUUCUACACAGAAAACUACGAAAGACUAUUAUGAAAUCUAGUCUGAAGGCGGAUUUAGUAGUAAAAAGAUUCAAGAGUGUUCUUUUUAAUCUGGCCCUGGGGCGCGCACACACCGCCCGUCACCCUCCUCAACUAACUCAACCCCCUAAUUAAAAACUAACCAGUUAACAAGAAGAGGCAAGUCGUAACAUGGUAAGUAUACCGGAAGGUGUGCUUGGAACAA
rnacentral:ncRNA from 1 species